UGGGGAAUAUUGGGCAAUGGGGGAAACCCUGACCCAGCAACGCCGCGUGAGGGAAGAAGGCCUUCGGGUUGUAAACCUCUGUCGCAGGGGACGAAGAAAAUGACGGUACCCUGUGAGGAAGCCCCGGCUAACUACGUGCCAGCAGCCGCGGUAAUACGUAGGGGGCGAGCGUUGUCCGGAAUUACUGGGCGUAAAGGGUGCGUAGGCGGCUAAUUAAGUUGGAUGUGAAAUCCCCGGGCUUAACUUGGGUGGUGCAUUCAAAACUGGUUAGCUAGAGUGCAGGAGAGGGAAGCGGAAUUCCGAGUGUAGCGGUGAAAUGCGUAGAUAUUAGGAGGAACACCAGUGGCGAAGGCGGCUUUCUGGACUGUAACUGACGCUGAGGCACGAAAGCGUGGGGAGCAAACA
rnacentral:rRNA from 1 species